rnacentral:rRNA from 1 species
CGCCGACUCCUACGGGAGGCAGCAGUGGGGAAUAUUGCACAAUGGGGGGAACCCUGAUGCAGCGACGCCGCGUGGGCGAGGAAGUAUUUCGGUAUGUAAAGCCCUAUCGGCAGGGAAGAAGAAAUGACGGUACCUGAAUAAGAAGCACCGGUUAAAUACGUGCCAGCAGCCGCGGGAAUACGUAGGGGGCAAGCGUUAUCCGGAAUUACUGGGUGUAAAGGGUGAGUAGGCGGCAUGGUAAGCCAGAUGUGAAAGCCUUGGGCUUAACCCGAGGAUUGCAUUUGGAACUAUCAAGCUAGAGUACAGGAGAGGAAAGCGGAAUUCCUAGUGUAGCGGUGAAAUGCGUAGAUAUUAGGAAGAACACCAGUGGCGAAGGCGGCUUUCUGGACUGAAACUGACGCUGAGGCACGAAAGCGUGGGGAGCGAACAGGAUUAGAUACCCCAGUA